GGGCGUUAAGUUGCAGGGUAUAGACCCGAAACCCGGUGAUCUAGCCAUGGGCAGGUUGAAGGUUGGGUAACACUAACUGGAGGACCGAACCGACUAAUGUUGAAAAAUUAGCGGAUGACCUGUGGCUGGGGGUGAAAGGCCAAUCAAACCGGGAGAUAGCUGGUUCUCCCCGAAAGCUAUUUAGGUAGCGCCUCGUGAAUUCAUCUCCGGGGGUAGAGCACUGUUUCGGCUAGGGGGCCAUCCCGGCUUACCAACCCGAUGCAAACUGCGAAUACCGGAGAAUGUUAUCACGGGAGACACACGGCGGGUGCUAACGUCCGUCGUGAAGAGGGAAACAACCCAGACCGCCAGCUAAGGUCCCAAAGUCAUGGUUAAGUGGGAAACGAUGUGGGAAGGCCCAGACAGCCAGGAUGUUGGCUUAGAAGCAGCCAUCAUUUAAAGAAAGCGUAAUAGCUCACUGGUCGAGUCGGCCUGCGCGGAAGAUGUAACGGGGCUAAACCCUGCACCGAAGCUGCGGCAGCGA
rnacentral:rRNA from 1 species